AGAGCGAACGCUGGCGGCAGGCUUAACACAUGCAGGUCGAGCGCCCCGCAAGGGGAGCGGCAGACGGGAGAGUAACACGUGGGAACGUACCUUUCGGUUCGGAACAACCCAGGGAAACUUGGGCUAAUACCGGAUACGCCCGUAAGGGGAAAGAUUUAUCGCCGGAAGAUCGGCCCGCGUCUGAUUAGCUAGUUGGUGAGGUAACGGCUCACCAAGGCGACGAUCAGUAGCUGGUCUGAGAGGAUGAUCAGCCUCACUGGGACUGAGACACGGCCCAGACUCCUACGGGAGGCAGCAGUAGGGAAUCUUGCGCAAUGGGGGAAACCCUGACGCAGCGACGCCGCGUGCGGGAUGAAGGCCUUCGGGUCGUAAACCGCUUUCAGCAGGGACGAAAUUGACGGUACCUGCAGAAGAAGGCCCGGCAACUACGUGCCAGCAGCCGC
rnacentral:rRNA from 1 species